GGCUACACAUGCAGUCGAGGGUAACAGGGAUAGCUUGCUAUUCGCUGACGACCGGCGCACGGGUGCGGAACGCGUAUGGAACCUGCCCCUGUCAGGGGAAUAGCCUGGAGAAAUUUGGAUUAAUGCCCCAUGGUAUCGAAUUACCGCAUGGUAAUUUGAUUAAAGAUUUAUCGGACAGGGAUGGCCAUGCGUACCAUUAGCUUGUUGGUGGGGUAACGGCCCACCAAGGCAACGAUGGUUAGGGGCCCUGAGAGGGGGAUCCCCCACACUGGUACUGAGACACGGACCAGACUCCUACGGGAGGCAGCAGUGAGGAAUAUUGGACAAUGGCCGGAAGGUUGAUCCAGCCAUGCCGCGUGCAGGAUGACGGCCCUAUGGGUUGUAAACUGCUGGUACACGGGAAGAAACCUCCCCUCGUGAGGGGAGCUGACGGUACCGUGAGAAUAAGGACCGGCUAACUCCGUGCCAGCAGCCGCGGUAAUACGGAGGGUCCGAGCGUUAUCCGGAAUCAUUGGGUUUAAAGGGUCCGUAGGCGGGCCUGUAAGUCAGGGGUGAAAGUACACGGCUCAACCGUGGGACUGCCCUUGAUACUGCAGGUCUUGAGUUAUAGUGGGGUUGCCGGAACAUGUGGUGUAGCGGUGAAAUGCAUAGAUAUCACAUAGAACACCGAUUAUGAAGGCAGGUGACCAACUAUAUACUGACGCUGAUGGACGAAAGCGUGGGUAGCGAACGGGAUUAGAUACCCCGGUAGUCCACGCCGUAAACGAUGGAUACUAGCUGUCGGGACUUCGGUCUCGGCGGCCAAGCGAAAGUGAUAAGUAUCCCACCUGGGGAGUACGUUCGCAAGAAUGAAACUCAAAGGAAUUGACGGGGGCCCGCACAAGCGGUGGAGCAUGUGCUUUAAUUCGAUGAUACGCGAGGAACCUUACCAGGGCUUAAAUGCGGGCUGCAUGGGACAGAGACGUCCCUUUCUUCGGACCGCCCGCAAGGUGCUGCAUGGUUGUCGUCAGCUCGUGCCGUGAGGUGUCAGGUUAAGUCCUAUAACGAGCGCAACCCCUACCGUUAGUUGCCAGCAAGUAAAGUUGGGGACUCUAACGGGACUGCCGGUGCAAACCGUGAGGAUGGUGGGGACGACGUCAAAUCAUCACGGCCCUUACGUCCUGGGCCACACACGUGCUACAAUGGGGGGUACAGAGGGAAGCCACCCCGCAAGGGGGCGCGGAUCUACAAAGCCGGUCACAGUUCGGAUCGGGGUCUGCAACUCGACCCCGUGAAGCUGGAAUCGCUAGUAAACGGAUAUCAGCCAUGAUCCGGUGAAUACGUUCCCGGGCCUUGUACA
rnacentral:rRNA from 1 species